rnacentral:tRNA from 1 species
GGUUGUGGCUCAAUGGUAGAGCGUUUGCCUCACAUGCAUGAGGCCCUGGGUUCAAUUCUCAGCACCG